rnacentral:rRNA from 1 species
UGGUCGUAGACCCGAAACCAGGUGAUCUACCCUUGGUCAGGUUGAAGUUCAGGUAACACUGAAUGGAGGACCGAACCGACUUACGUUGAAAAGUGAGCGGAUGAACUGAGGGUAGCGGAGAAAUUCCAAUCGAACUUGGAGAUAGCUGGUUCUCUCCGAAAUAGCUUUAGGGCUAGCCUCAAGUGAUGAUUAUUGGAGGUAGAGCACUGUUUGGACGAGGGGCCCCUCUCGGGUUACCGAAUUCAGACAAACUCCGAAUGCCAAAUAAUUUAACUUGGGAGUCAGAAUGUGGGUGAUAAGGUCCAUAUUCGAAAGGGAAACAGCCCAGACCACCAGCUAAGGUCCCAAAAUAUAUGUUAAGUGGAAAAGGAUGUGGCGUUGCCCAGACAACUAGGAUGUUGGCUUAGAAGCAGCCAUCAUUUAAAGAGUGCGUAAUAGCUCACUAGUCGAGUGACACUGCGCCGAAAAUGUACCGGGGCUAAACAUAU